rnacentral:rRNA from 1 species
UGGGGAAUUUUGGACAAUGGGCGAAGCCUGAUCCAGCAAUGCCGCGUGUGUGAAGAAGGCCUUCGGGUUGUAAAGCACUUUUGUCCGGAAAGAAAUCCUUGGCUCUAAUACAGUCGGGGGAUGACGGUACCGGAAGAAUAAGCACCGGCUAACUACGUGCCAGCAGCCGCGGUAAUACGUAGGGUGCAAGCGUUAAUCGGAAUUACUGGGCGUAAGCGUGCGCAGGCGGUUUGCUAAGACCGAUGUGAAAUCCCCGGGCUCAACCUGGGAACUGCAUUGGUGACUGGCAGGCUAGAGUAUGGCAGAGGGGGGUAGAAUUCCACGUGUAGCAGUGAAAUGCGUAGAGAUGUGGAGGAAUACCGAUGGCGAAGGCAGCCCCCUGGGCCAAUACUGACGCUCAUGCACGAAAGCGUGGGGAGCAAACAGGAUU